GGGCCGGCUCUAGGCCAGGCUCCCUCUUAUGGGGACGGCUAUGAUAGAGAAUCCCCUUCAGAAACUGCUCCAGCUUGCAGCUAGUUUGGGGUUUUCCAGACCCUCCCCCCUCCGCUGGUGGGUGGGAACAGUCUUCUUAUUUCCAACCUCAGCUGAUCCCUGGACCUAGGAUUCCAGAUUAAAAUAUCUCAAUAGCUCCUGGAAAUACAAGGCCUGGUACAUCAGCUGGGCAUCGCCUGACAAUGCCAGCAGGAGGACUACCUUGUGGACUCUCAAGCCCCUAAAAGCAAGACUGGGAGUGUCAUGAAUCGUGUGGGGAACUCCAUUUAAGGUGUUGUAGCUUGAUGCCCUCACAGAGGCAACGGAUCGAAUAUAUCUGGACAGUGCGGAACAGACCUUUCUGCGGGGAAGACCGGGAGCGCGUCGGGAUCACUGCAGAUGUAGCAAUCGAGGCUGCCGGAAGCCAGAGCGUGGCCGGUGUUUUCUUUCUGACUUGCCGGACCGUGGCUGUGGCGAUACACGGACGUUCAGGGUGUGACCCCCAAGUCAUUUGGCAGUGAGCGGUCCUGCUUGGGAGCCACGGCAGCAUGGCAUUGUGAGGCACCCCACAUUGCAGGGGAGGUUGUGUAUUUCUAGGAUGAUUGUAUAAGUUAUAAAACUCUUCAUGUCACUAAAAUCCAGCCCAUCAAUUGGUUAUAAUUCUUCAACUCAUUACUCCUGGGGGAAUUCUGCACCCCUGUGUGCGCUCAGAAUUUAUGUUCCUUGCAAAUUUCUUUGUUUCCCCAUAGAAAAAUGACUUUUUGAUAAGGAAGCCGCAAGAGCGAUUGUGCAGCCUUCCCAGCAGUACGUUUUAGUGUCCAGGGCAGCCGGCAGAGAGGUAAAUCUUGUGGACCAGGGGGCAGGACUGGGGAAGACCUGGCUAGUAGCUCCUACCAUGUGCCGGGCUCAGCUGCUAGUCCCAUCUGGGCCGGGGAGGAUGGGACUUCCUCUUCCCCUGCAUGGCAUCUGGGGUCGUGUCAGACCCAUGUCCAGAUUUCUCUCCCAGCUGUAGGAAGUGCCAUGUGCACAUCCCACCACCCCUCACCCCUGCACUCAUAGCUCUUCAGCUGCAGGGGCAGGGAUUGCUGUAGAGGGAGCUGCUUCCCCUGUGCCCAACCCCAGGCCUCCUCAUACCCAGACCCUUCUGCCAAGCCUCACCCCCUGCACUCAGAAUCCCCUGAUGAGCCCCACUUACCCAGCAUCCCCACACCCAGACCCCCACUUCUGCUGAGCCCCAACCACAUUCACCUGGACACCCCCCCCAGAGUCUCCCAUUACUGUUGCACCCAGAACCCUCCAACAAGCCCCUGUGCAUCCAGGUGCCCUCCCCCCCCCCCGUCCCCACAGCUGGAUCUGCCACUGAGCCGCCUGCACCCAGAUUGCCCUACCCAGAACCCUCUCAACCCACAGCUGGAUCCCCCCCCACACUAAGUCCCUCUAGACUUGGACCCUGCCUUGCUGAGCCUGCCUGCCCACAGCUGAUGCACCUGGCAAGGAGGGGCAGGGCUCUGGGCUGUUUCUGGGCCAGGCUCUGUCCUUGCGCUGUGUCAGGGUUGUUGCAGCCUCACCGCUGCUCCCACCUCUAUGAAGCCAGUGACCUGUGCUCCCCAAUGCCAUGCUGGAGCCUCUACAUUUAUUUGACAAAUGAAUUUUGCAGAUUUUUAAAAUAUUAUGUACAGAAUUUGUAUUUUUUUGGUGCAGAAUGUCCUCAGGAGUAACUUGUUCUAUACCUUUCAUUCUCCUUGUUUUGGAUACUAGCAUUCCAGGUACUGACCCCAGAAGGUACCUUUGUAAUUUGUACCGGGGCAAAAUAGAAAUGUAUUUGGAUUUUUGACAAGUGACCUAUCUGCUUAUGUCACAGGCCAAGCGGUACUAUCGCAACAUGUGGAUUACCUCCUUUGCAUUGCCUGGGCGUUCAGUUCGGCCUGCCUUCUGGUUACAACACAGAGCAAUCCACCUCCUGGGACCAGGGGGUUACUUGUUUGAUGGGUUACCGAAGGAUUCAGUGGCUAGUCACAAAUCCCUGCGUUGAGUCUCUGCCACCAGUCUGGUGUCCGUGACACAAGAAGAUGUCAAUGGCAACUGGCAAGGGUGUGUGUGUGUGU